GUCACGGUAUUUCUCGACAUUCAAAUUGCCAUCGAUAAAAUGCAAUUGUGUUCGUUGUCCGUAGUUUAUUCCUGCCCAUACCACAACCCCCUCUGUUUACAACGUUGACAACAGCAAACCUCUCUCCAGACGACCCAGAGGCACAACCCCCUCUGUUUACAACGUUGACAACAGCAAACCUCUCUCCAGACCACCCAGAGGCACGACACCAUCUGUUUACAACGUUGACAACAGCAAACCUCUCUCCAGACGACCCAGAGGCACACACCAUCUGCCGUAGAGGUGAAACUGCGAUUCAUCCAUGAAGUACCCAUUUUCUCCAGCGUGCCAGUGGCCCUCGGUGAGCAUUUGCCCACUGAAGUCGGUUACGACGCCGAACUGCAGUCAGGUCAAGACCCUGGUGAGGUCCUGGUGAGCACGUAGAUGAGCUGAAACGAGACGGUUUCUGUUUGUGCAGAUAUUGGUUGUGAAAACCCACAGUUUAAUCAGAUGUCCGGCUGGCUGGUCUCAGACAAUCCCGCAGGUGAAGAAGCCAGAUGUGAAGGUCCUGGGCUGGCGUUGUUACACGUGGUCUGUGGUUGUGAGGCCGGUUGGACUUACUGCCAAAUUCUCUAAAACAACGGAGGCAGCUUAUGGGAGAGAAAUUAACAUUCAAUUCUCUGGCAACAUCUCUGGUGGACAUUCCUGCAAUCAGCAUGCAAAUUGCACUCUCCCUCAAAACUUGAGACAUCUGUGUCAUUGUGUGACAAAACUGCACAUUUUAGAGUGGCCUUUUAUUGGCCCCCAGCACAAACUGCACCUACUGUAUGUAAUGAUCAUGCUUUUUAAUCAGCUUCUUGAUAUGCAACACCUGUCGGGUGGUGGAUUAUCUUGGCAAAGGAGAAAUGCUCAUUAACAGGGAUGUAAACACAUUUGUGCACAAAAUUUGAGAGAAAUAAGCUUUUUGUGCACAUGGACAUUUUCUGGGGGAUAAUUUAUUUCAGCUCAUGAAACAUGGGACCAACACUUUACAUGUUGCGUUUAUAUUUUUGUUGUUCCUCUCG
ensembl:lncRNA